rnacentral:rRNA from 1 species
GUGGCGAACGGGUGAGUAACACGUGAGUAACCUGCCCUUGACUCUGGGAUAAGCGUUGGAAACGACGUCUAAUACCGGAUACGAGCUAGGACCGCAUGGUCACUAGCUGGAAAGAACUUCGGUCAAGGAUGGACUCGCGGCCUAUCAGCUAGUUGGUGAGGUAACGGCUCACCAAGGCGACGACGGGUAGCCGGCCUGAGAGGGUGACCGGCCACACUGGGACUGAGACACGGCCCAGACUCCUACGGGAGGCAGCAGUGGGGAAUAUUGCACAAUGGGCGCAAGCCUGAUGCAGCAACGCCGCGUGAGGGACGACGGCCUUCGGGUUGUAAACCUCUUUUAGCAGGGAAGAAGCACAAGUGACGGUACCUGCAGAAAAAGCACCGGCUAACUACGUGCCAGCAGCCGCGGUAAUACGUAGGGUGCAAGCGUUGUCCGGAAUUAUUGGGCGUAAAGAGCUCGUAGGCGGUCUGUCGCGUCUGCUGUGAAAACCCGAGGCUCAACCUCGGGCCUGCAGUGGGUACGGGCAGACUAGAGUGCGGUAGGGGAGAUUGGAAUUCCUGGUGUAGCGGUGGAAUGCGCAGAUAUCAGGAGGAACACCGAUGGCGAAGGCAGAUCUCUGGGCCGUAACUGACGCUGAGGAGCGAAAGCGUGGGGAGCGAACAGGAUUAGAUACCCUGGUAGUCCAC